ACCUCGCCAUUGACCACGGAUGUACUGGCAUUGGCUGAAGGUGUUGAGGAAGGUCGGGUUCAGCCCGGCCUUUUUUCU
rnacentral:sRNA from 1 species